rnacentral:rRNA from 1 species
AGUGAACGCUGGCGGUAGGCCUAACACAUGCAAGUCGAACGGCAGCACAGUAAGAGCUUGCUCUUACGGGUGGCGAGUGGCGGACGGGUGAGGAAUACAUCGGAAUCUACUUUUUCGUGGGGGAUAACGUAGGGAAACUUACGCUAAUACCGCAUACGACCUACGGGUGAAAGCAGGGGAUCUUCGGACCUUGCGCGAUUGAAUGAGCCGAUGUCGGAUUAGCUAGUUGGCGGGGUAAAGGCCCACCAAGGCGACGAUCCGUAGCUGGUCUGAGAGGAUGAACCGCCACACGGGACAUGGGACACGGUCAAGACCCCUACGGGGGGCAGCAGGGGGGAAUUUUGGACAAUGGGGCAAAGCCUGAUCCAGCCAUACCGGGUGGGUGAAGAAGGCCUUCGGGUUGUAAAGCCCUUUUGUUGGGAAAAAAAAGCAGCAGGUUAAUACCCCGCUGUUCUGACGGUACCCAAAGAAUAAGCACCGGCUAACUUCGU